GCGGGAAUAGCUCAGUUGGUAGAGCGCUGGUUUCCCAAACCCGAGGUCGCGGGUCCGAGUCCCGUUUCCCGCU
rnacentral:tRNA from 1 species